GUGCCCGUAGCUCAGCCGGUAGAGCACGUGACUUUUAAUCAUGGGGUCCAGGGUUCGAGUCCCUGCGGGCACA
rnacentral:tRNA from 1 species